AACGAACGCUGGCGGCAUGCCUAACACAUGCAAGUCGAACGAGACCUUCGGGUCUAGUGGCGCACGGGUGCGUAACGCGUGGGAAUCUACCCUUGGGUUCGGAAUAACUCAGAGAAAUUUGAGCUAAUACCGGAUGAUGUCGCAAGACCAAAGAUUUAUCGCCCAAGGAUGAGCCCGCGUAGGAUUAGCUUGUUGGUGAGGUAAAAGCUCACCAAGGCGACGAUCCUUAGCUGGUCUGAGAGGAUGAUCAGCCACACUGGGACUGAGACACGGCCCAGACUCCUACGGGAGGCAGCAGUGGGGAAUAUUGGACAAUGGGCGAAAGCCUGAUCCAGCAAUGCCGCGUGAGUGAUGAAGGCCCUAGGGUUGUAAAGCUCUUUUACCAGGGAUGAUAAUGACAGUACCUGGAGAUAAGCUCCGGCUAACUCCGUGCCAGCAGCCGCGGUAAU
rnacentral:rRNA from 1 species